UGAAGUUGAAGUCCAAUCAACUUGAAACUUAGUACACAUGUUCCUUCUGAUAUGAUCUUUCUAAUUUUAAAGCCAAAUUAAACUUUUGACCCCAAUUUCACGGUCCACUGAACAUAGAAAAUGAAAGUGCAUGUUUCAGGUUAAAGUUUUUCAGGUUAAAGUUUUUGGUCAAGGUAGUUUUUGAUGAAGUUGAAGUCCAAUCAACUUGAAACUUAGUACACAUGUUCCUUAUGAUAUGAUCUUUCUAAUUUUAAAGCCAAAUUAAACUUUGACCCCAAUUUCACGGUC
rnacentral:lncRNA from 1 species